GAGAAAAUGGGCAGGGAGAGGAAUA
rnacentral:piRNA from 1 species